rnacentral:rRNA from 1 species
UACGUAGGUGGCAAGCGUUGUCCGGAAUUAUUGGGCGUAAAGCGCGCGCAGGCGGUCCUUUAAGUCUGAUGUGAAAGCCCACGGCUCAACCGUGGAGGGUCAUUGGAAACUGGGGGACUUGAGUACAGAAGAGAAGAGUGGAAUUCCACGUGUAGCGGUGAAAUGCGUAGAUAUCAGGAGGAACACCGGUGGCGAAGGCGGCUACCUGGACAGAAACUGACGCUGAGGCGCGAAAGCUAGGGGAGCAAACAGG